UAAUACCGCAUACGCUCUACGGAGGAAAGGGGGGGAUCGCAAGACCUCUCGCUCAAGGGGCGGCCGAUGGCAGAUUAGCUAGUUGGUGGGGUAAAGGCCUACCAAGGCGACGAUCUGUAGCUGGUCUGAGAGGACGACCAGCCACACUGGGACUGAGACACGGCCCAGACUCCUACGGGAGGCAGCAGUGGGGAAUUUUGGACAAUGGGCGCAAGCCUGAUCCAGCAAUGCCGCGUGUGUGAAGAAGGCCUUCGGGUUGUAAAGCACUUUUGUCCGGAAAGAAAACUUCCUGGUUAAUACCUGGGGAGGAUGACGGUACCGGAAGAAUAAGCACCGGCUAACUACGUGCCAGCAGCCGCGGUAAUACGUAGGGUGCGAGCGUUAAUCGGAAUUACUGGGCGUAAAGCGUGCGCAGGCGGUCUGUUAAGACAGAUGUGAAAUCCCCGGGCCUAACCUGGGAACUGCAUUUGUGACUG
rnacentral:rRNA from 1 species